rnacentral:rRNA from 1 species
UACGUAGGUGGCAAGCGUUGUCCGGAAUUAUUGGGCGUAAAGCGCGCGCAGGCGGUCCUUUAAGUCUGAUGUGAAAGCCCACGGCUCAACCGUGGAAGGUCAUUGGAAACUGGGGGACUUGAGUGCAGAAGAGGAAAGUGGAAUUCCACGUGUAGCGGUGAAAUGCGUAGAGAUGUGGAGGAACACCAGUGGCGAAGGCGACUUUCUGGUCUGUAACUGACGCUGAGGCGCGAAAGCGUGGGGAGCAAACAGGAUUAGAUACCCGGGUAGU